AGGGCCUGCGAAAUUCUAAUUCACAUCAACUGAAUGCAACUCAAUCACUUUCAUUAAGCUAAAACCCU
rnacentral:tRNA from 1 species